CGUAUGGAUCCGAAGCCCCUCGAAAGAUAAUAUAGGCACUCCAUACCCUACUCCGACUCAAUACGUCCACGUCGUACAGAAUGGUAACAUAUCUCUCCAAAUAUCUGAGCUUGGGUAUCAAGUAUUUCGAAUCGGAUAAACAGAUACCGACCCACUGAACUGAACAAGGACUAUAGUAUACGAUUGGAAAUUCGGGACAUGG
rnacentral:ribozyme from 1 species